CAAGAAUCGAGGCUGACGGUGCCUACUCCCUAGGCUCCGUCCAGUCCCGCUCUCUACCUUGCCUACUGCACCGUUUGUUGCUUCCUGGCGGCGUCCCGUCGCCAGGGCCUUUUGAAAGCCAAGUAUAAGCAUUGAAACUUCUGACAUACACUAAAUCGUA
rnacentral:misc_RNA from 1 species